UGUGACGCCUGCGCGGUCUCAAUCUGAAGCUGUUUUCUUGGCGCGGUUCAGUGUCUUGUGGAUGCCGCAGGUGACAUCCGCCCAUUCAGCGCACAGAACAGACGCGAGUCCGUGACCCAUCACACCUCCUCACCAGCCAAAAAAGGAGUACGUGUUCAGUGAGAGGAACGUACACCAAGCGCAGUGGGAAAAAAGCGAGUUGGCCGUUCACAGUGUUUGAGACUGCCAGUCCCCGGCUCACCAGCUCAGGAAACCUGCGAUCCAGCAGAGAGCAGUUGGCAGACACAACAGAACAGGCUGCACUGAGACGGAGGGGGUGAUGGAGCGAGUGAGGGUGUGAGGAGAACAACUUACAGAAUGAGAUGAGAAGAACUCGCCUUAACCAGAUAUGAGCCGGGCUCCACUGAGCAUGCCCAAUAGUGUCGGCCCUGCGUUAUGGCCACAUCACCCACAAGCAGAUCAGCUGUCAGGUGACAGGAAGUGAGGGCACGAU